ensembl:lncRNA
AAGGGACUGAACUCGCACUGAAAUUAGGGAAGGAGAAGGUAAACAACACUUUGCUGAUGUGUGAUCCAGUUCUCUGCAAUGAGAAGUGCCCCCUGCACGAGGCUACAGCUGUGUGUGGGGCUGUCCCGGUUAGCAGAGCUGCGGGGUCAGGGGUGCAAAAGGCACUCAGUGCUUACCCAGAAGGCUUUCUUUUGCCUCGAUCAAGGAACCAAGUUUGGAUGCACAAUCCCAGCAAAACUUGGCUGGGAUGCAUCCGUGGCCGCUUCCCACCGCCUGCUGCCCUGCUCUGCUCCUGCAUGCAGAACUCGAAUAUGCUGAUGAAUGCAGCGUAAGCAGGAAAAAGGGGAGCACAGCAUGAUCGGAUGCAUUAACGGCUGCCUGCACGAGGCCCCUGUUCGUGUCCUGUGGUGUGUGUGAUAUUUCAUGUGACAGAGCUUUGCGACGCUUCAACUCUGUCCUGUCCGCAAAAUGACAGUCUGAUCAUCAUUGCUUUCUAUAGUUUGGGAAUGGUGGCAAAAGAGAUUUACUUUCCAGCCCCAGAUACUCUGAUCCUCUAAGGCAGCGUCCUACAAACCCAGGUACAGGUUCUUCUGUAUUGGCUGCAAGUGCUGGAACACUUUCUUCAUACGAAUGAUAGAGAUGUGGAAGGAUAAAACCAAAAUAUGCACUGCUGCAGUUUGUACAGCGUAAAAAAAUAAGGGAGCAUAAUCCAAAUAACAACAUCUAGUGCUUUUACAGGGCUCCGUGCAUAUGGCAUAAAUGACAGCUAAUUAAACUUUAUAUCCUGCCUGCAAGAUAAGCGUAUAAUUAGUAUUACAUCCCUUCUGUAAUUAGGAGACCGCAUGCAAAAAGCUGCGCCUGCAGACUGUGCUGUAAGGC